AUAACACUGCCACCGGGCAGAAUAUUGCAGAUAAGCAUUUGCGUUCGCAUCGUUAGGUCUCAGAAGAUGCGGGCAGCAAAUGCUUUUUUAUU
rnacentral:ncRNA from 1 species